UACGUAGGGACCGAGCGUUGUCCGGAAUCAUUGGGCGUAAAGAGCGUGUAGGCGGCCAUGUAGGUCCGUUGUGAAAACUCGAGGCUCAACCUCGAGACGCCGAUGGAAACCAUGUGGCUAGAGUCCGGAAGAGGAGAGUGGAAUUCCUGGUGUAGCGGUGAAAUGCGCAGAUAUCAGGAAGAACACCCGUGGCGAAGGCGGCUCUCUGGGACGGUACUGACGCUGAGACGCGAAAGCGUGGGGAGCGAACAGG
rnacentral:rRNA from 1 species